ACGGACACGGAUGUCCGGGGAUCCACGCAACGGCGACGUUUUUGCUCCGCAAAAACUCGCAUCCAGAAGUGUACACGGAUGUACACUUCUGGACAGGC
rnacentral:sRNA from 1 species